UACGUAGGGGGCAAGCGUUGUCCGGAUUUAUUGGGCGGAAAGAGCGUGUAGGCGGCCAGGUAGGUCCGUUGUGAAAACUCGAGGCUCAACCUCGAGACGUCGGUUGAAACCGUACGGCUAGAGUCCGGAAGAGGAGAGUGGAAUUCCCGGUGUAGCGGUGAAAUGCGCAGAUAUCGGGAAGAACACACGUGGCGAAGGCGGCUCUCUGGGACGGUACUGACGCUGAGACGCGAAAGCGUGGGGAGCGAACAGG
rnacentral:rRNA from 1 species